rnacentral:rRNA from 1 species
AAAAAAAAAAAAAAAAUUAAAAUUAAAAAUUUUUAAAUCUUCUAAAAACAGUACUUCAAAGGAAACUUUUUUUUAAAAAAGUAAAAUUUAAAAUUUAUACCUUGUGUAUAAUGGCUUAGUAAACUUUAAUUUAAAUUAAUAUAACCCGAAAAUUUCAUGAGCUAAUUUUUUCUUGUUAAGAACAAAAAAAUUUAUAUAACAUAAUAAUUUUAAAAGAAAAUCUUAGAAGCUACAUACUUAUCGCAUAAAUUUAUAGCUGGUUUUUUACUAACCUUAUUUAAGUAAGCUUAAUAAUGUAUUAAAAUAAAUAAUAAAGGAAAAGCUUUAUUAUACGUGUUAAUACACCUUAAAAAAUUUUUUUUUGUAAUAUUAAAAGUUUAUAUCAACUUAUAUUGUUUUAUACCUAAAAAUUAUAUCAAAAUUUUUAAAUUAUUUUUCUCUGUUACAAUAAAUAGUAAAAAUUUUAUAUUAAUUUUUUUAUCAAUAUAUUCUUCUAAGAUUAGUAUUAUUCUUAUUAAAGAACCUAUUUUAAUUUAAUAUACCAUUAUUAAUUUAAAUAAAAAUCUUAAUAUUUUAUUUUAUUUUAUUUUUAAAUAAGGAACUCGGCAUAUACAAAUUUCGACUGUUUACCAAAAACAUAGCUUUUUGAAAAUUAAAAAUAAAAAGUAUCUUCUGCCCAAUGAUUUUAUAUUAAAUGGCCGCGGUAUCCUGACCGUGCGAAGGUAGCAUAAUCAUUUGCUUUUUAAUUAAAGGCUAGAAUGAAUGAAUAAACGAAAAUUUAGCUGUCUCAUUUAAAUUUAUAAAAAUUAAUCUUAAAGUGAAAAAGCUUUAAUUCUAUUAUAGGACAAAAAGACCCUAUUGAGCUUUAUAUAAUUUUUUUUUUACAAAGUAUAUUAAUAAACUUUUAAAAAAAUCUAAUAUUUAGUUGGGGCGACUAAAGAAGAUUAAAAUCUUCUUUUUACUUAAAGAAAGCCAUUUCUCUCUUAGGAUCUAAUAAUAUUUAACUAAAGAAAAUAGCUACCAUAGGGAUAACAGUCUAAUUUUUCUUUAAAGUUCAAAUUAACAGAAAAGAUUAGCACCUCGAUGUUGGCUUAAGAUUUCCUUUUAUUGCAAUAAAUAACUAGGUAGGUUUGUUCAACCUUUAAAAUCUUACAUGAGCUGAGUUCAGACCGGCGUAAGCCAGGUUAGUUUAUAUCCUUAAUUUAAAUUUUCUAAGCCUCAGUACGAAAGGACCAUUUUUAGUAAAUAAUUUAAACCUUAGAAAGUAUAUAAAAUUUUUUAAGCCACUAAAAUAAAU